AUUGAACGCUGGCGGCAUGCCUUACACAUGCAAGUCGAACGGUAACAGGUUAAGCUGACGAGUGGCGAACGGGUGAGUAAUAUAUCGGAACGUGCCCAGUCGUGGGGAUAACGUAGCGAAAGCUACGCUAAUACCGCAUACGAUCUACGGAUGAAAGCGGGGGAUCGCAAGACCUCGCGCGAUUGGAGCGGCCGAUAUCAGAUUAGGUUGUUGGUGAGGUAAAAGCUCACCAAGCCUGCGAUCUGUAGCUGGUCUGAGAGGACGACCAGCCACACUGGAACUGAGACACGGUCCAGACUCCUACGGGAGGCAGCAGUGGGGAAUUUUGGACAAUGGACGCAAGUCUGAUCCAGCAAUGCCGCGUGCAGGACGAAGGCCUUCGGGUUGUAAACUGCUUUUGUACGGAACGAAACGGUGAGCUCUAAUACAGUUUGCCAAUGACGGUACCGUAAGAAUAAGCACCGGCUAACUACGUGCCAGCCGCCGCGGUAA
rnacentral:rRNA from 1 species